CAGGGUGUGGGAAAGCUUGGUUUAAUCCGCGUGCUUCGGGCGCACGAGAUCGCUGGUUCGACUCCAGCCAUCCUGA
rnacentral:tRNA from 2 species